rnacentral:rRNA from 1 species
UACGGGGGGGGCAAGCGUUGUUCGGAAUUACUGGGCGUAAAGGGCUCGUAGGCGGCCAACUAAGUCGGACGUGAAAUCCCCAGGCUCAACCUGGGAACUGCGUCCGAUACUGGAUGGCUUGAAUUCGGGAGAGGGAUGCAGAAUUCCAGGUGUAGCGGUGAAAUGCGUAGAGAUCGGGAGGAACAUCAGUGGCGAAGGCGGCCAUCUGGGACAACACUGACGCUGAGGCACGAAAGCGUGGGGAGCAAACAGG